rnacentral:rRNA from 1 species
GGUGAACGCUGGCGGCGUGCCUAAUACAUGCAAGUCGAGCGAACGGACGAGAAGCUUGCUUUUCUGAUGUUAGCGGCGGACGGGUGAGUAACACGUGGAUAACCUACCUAUAAGACUGGGAUAACUUCGGGAAACCGGAGCUAAUACCGGAUAAUAUUUUGAACCGCAUGGUUCAAAAGUGAAAGACGGUUUGGCUGUCACUUAUAGACGGUUCCGCGUUGCAUUAGCUAGUUGGUAAGGUAACGGCUUACCAAGGCAACGAUGCAUAGCCGACCUGAGAGGGUGAUCGGCCACACUGGAACUGAGACACGGUCCAGACUCCUACGGGAGGCAGCAGUAGGGAAUCUUCCACAAUGGGCGAAAGCCUGACGGAGCAACGCCGCGUGAGUGAUGAAGGUCUUCGGAUCGUAAAACUCUGUUAUUAGGGAAGAACAGAUGUGUAAGUAACUGUGCACAUCUUGACGGUACCUAAUCAGAAAGCCACGGCUAACUACGUG